CCUGAUCCAGGUAAUCAACAGCAGAUGAGGCAGGAUUUCUGAAAAACCAGCAGGAGGUCGGCCCCUCGAGGUCUGGAGUUUGACACCCCUGCUAAAAGU
rnacentral:snoRNA from 1 species